AACGAACGCUGGCGGCAUGCCUAACACAUGCAAGCCGAACGAGAUCUUCGGGUCUAGUGGCGCACGGGUGCGUAACGCGUGGGAAUCUGCCCUUUGGUUCGGAAUAACAGUUGGAAACGACUGCUAAUACCGGAUGAUGACGAAAGUCCAAAGAUUUAUCGCCAGAGGAUGAGCCCGCGUAGGAUUAGCUAGUUGGUGUGGUAAAGGCGCACCAAGGCGACGAUCCUUAGCUGGUCUGAGAGGAUGAUCAGCCACACUGGGACUGAGACACGGCCCAGACUCCUACGGGAGGCAGCAGUGGGGAAUAUUGGACAAUGGGCGAAAGCCUGAUCCAGCAAUGCCGCGUGAGUGAUGAAGGCCUUAGGGCUGUAAAGCUCUUUUACCCGGGAUGAUAAUGACAGUACCGGGAGAAUAAGCUCCGGCUAACUCCGUGCCAGCAGCCGCAGUAA
rnacentral:rRNA from 1 species